rnacentral:rRNA from 1 species
CACGUAGGGUGCAAGCGUUGUCCGGAAUCAUUGGGCAUAAAGAGCUCGUAGGCGGCUUAGUAAGUCGGGUGUGAAAACCCCAGGCUCAACCUGGGGACGCCACCCGAUACUGCUAUAGCUAGAGUCCAGUAGGGGAGUGUGGAAUUCCCAGUGUAGCGGUGAAAUGCGCAGAUAUCAGGAGGAACACCGAUGGCGAAGGCAGGUCUCUGGGCCACUACUGACGCUGAGAAGCGAAAGCAUGGGGAGCGAACAGG